UUUUUGUAAGAAAUCAGAGAAUUUGAGCAUCCCCCUUGUUAGGGGGAGAGAAAAAGGCGAUAGUACUACAUGGCCACAUAUAGUACUAUGUGCACAUUGGUACAAUAUGAAGUUACUGAUUUUU
ensembl:snRNA